GAUGAACGCUGGCGGCGUGCCUAAUACAUGCAAGUCGAGCGAACAGACGAGGAGCUUGCUCCUCUGACGUUAGCGGCGGACGGGUGAGUAACACGUGGAUAACCUACCUAUAAGACUGGGAUAACUUCGGGAAACCGGAGCUAAUACCGGAUAAUAUAUUGAACCGCAUGGUUCAAUAGUGAAAGACGGUUUUGCUGUCACUUAUAGAUGGAUCCGCGCCGCAUUAGCUAGUUGGUAAGGUAACGGCUUACCAAGGCAACGAUGCGUAGCCGACCUGAGAGGUUAAUCGGCCAAACUGGAACGGAAAACGGGUCCAGACUCCUACGGAAGGCAGCAGUAGGGAAUCUUCGGCAAUGGGCGAAAGCUGGACGGAGAAACGCGGCGUGAGUGAUGAAGGUUUUCGGAUCUUAAAACUCUGUUAUAGGGAAGAACAAAUGUGUAAGUAACUAUGCACGUCUUGACGGUACCUAAUCAGAAAGCCACGGCUAACUACGUG
rnacentral:rRNA from 1 species